GUCCAACUAAGGUCUAAACAAUUAAUUAGUUAGCGCUUGGUUGAUGAGGGAACAAGCUCUUACAGUGUGUUCAUGUACAAAGGCUGUUGAAUAAAGAAACGUGAACCAUCA